rnacentral:rRNA from 1 species
GGUCUGGGCGGACGGUCCACCUUCCGGUGAGCACUGUUCCGACACCGGGCCUAUCCUUCUGGUGAGACGGCAUGCCCUUCGCUGGGUGUGUCGGGGAACCAGGACCAUUACCUUGAAAAAAUUAGAGUGUUCAAAGCAGGCAUUUGCUCGAAUACAUUAGCAUGGAAUAAUGGAAUAGGACGUGCGGUUCUAUUUCGUUGGUUUCUAGAAUCGCCGUA